rnacentral:rRNA from 1 species
AGAGUUUGAUCCUGGCUCAGAUUGAACGCUGGCGGCAUGCUUUACACAUGCAAGUCGAACGGCAGCACGGGGGCAACCCUGGCGGCGAGUGGCGAACGGGUGAGUAAUGCAUCGGAACGUAUCCUUGAGUGGGGGAUAACGCAGCGAAAGUUGUGCUAAUACCGCAUACGACCGAGAGGUGAAAGCGGGGGACCGAAAGGCCUCGCGCAGCAGGAUGAGCCGAUGUCCGAUUAGCUGGUUGGUGGGGUAACGGCCCACCAAGGCGACGAUCGGUAGCUGGUCUGAGAGGAUGAUCAGCCACACUGGGGACUGAGACAUGGCCCAGACUCCUACGGGAGGCGAC